GAUGAACGCUGGCGGCGUGCCUAAUACAUGCAAGUCGAGCGAACAGACGAGGAGCUUGCUCCUCUGACGUUAGCGGCGGACGGGUGAGUAACACGUGGAUAACCUACCUAUAAGACUGGGAUAACUUCGUGAAACCGGGUCUAAUACCGGAUAAUAUAUUGAACCGCAUGGUUCAAUAGUUAAAGACGGUUUUGCUGUCACUUAUAGAUGGAUCCGCGCCGCAUUAGCUAGUUGGUAAGGUAACGGCUUACCAAGGCAACGAUGCGUAGCCGACCUGAGAGGGUGAUCGGCCACACUGGAACUGAGACACGGUCCAGACUCCUACGGGAGGCAGCAGUAGGGAAUCUUCCGCAAUGGGCGAAAGCCUGACGGAGCAACGCCGCGUGAGUGAUGAAGGUCUUCGGAUCGUAAAACUCUGUUAUUAGGGAAGAACAAAUGUGUAAGUAACUAUGCACGUCUUGACGGUACCUAAUCAGAAAGCCACGGCUAACUACGUG
rnacentral:rRNA from 1 species